rnacentral:sRNA from 1 species
AAAGUUCGAUCUCGGCGCAUUACUGGUGACUCGUAGCGAACACGGUAUGACGCUGCUGCGCCGUGGACUGGAACCUUUCCA